rnacentral:lncRNA from 1 species
AGAAUGCAAGACAGUGAGAUUGAGUACUCUAAGAGUGUGAGUACACGAGCUCAUCAUCGAGAUGCAUUGCAUUUGACAUGCGUACUUGAGAUACAUGCAUAGAGGUACAUUUCCUUCUGCUACCCAGUUUUGGGGACAUUUAUGAUUUUACCUGUAUCUUGACACGUAAGCAUAGAGAAGUACUUUCCUCAUGCUAUCUGAAAAUGAAACAUCUUACUAUUUGUUGAAAGGAGUUUUGGGAAAAAUCACAGUUUUUAAAAACUUACUCGUAUAUUGGCUUUUCGGUAAAAGAUUUGGAUUUUCACUGAGAUACAUGAAAAGAAAUGCCUAUUUUUCUGGAACUGUGAAUGAACUGAGCCUUUUAUUUCUGAGAUUCUUCUUUUGUUAUGGUACUAUACUGUUAUUAAUUGUUGUGGAAUAUUGGUGUUGGACCCGACCUUUCUGUUAGCUCGUCAUUACUUUCAACCUAAGGUUAGAUUUGUUACUUAUUGAGUAUAUGGGGUCGGUUGUACUCAUACUACACUUCUGCACCUUGCAUGCAGAUGUUGGCUGCUGAUGUUGAUGUGUUCGAUGGGAGCUGGAUUGAAGAUGUACCUGCGUCCCUGCUAUAGCUGCCUCUUAUUCGUGGUAGCUUUAGAUAUGUAAAACUCUGUUUAUGUACUAUUCAAACCGACUAUGUAUUUAUUUCAUUUUCCCUUUGUAAACUUUAUUCUUAGAAGCUCAUGAUUUGUACUACCAAUUCUUAGGGAAUGUAUGAGAUUUAGAAAAUUUCUUUACUUAAACUGCUUUUUUAAUUGUUAUUGGAAUUGGUUAGUGGUUAAUUGUCUUACCUAGCGGGUUGGGUUAGGUGCCAUCGCGACUAGUCGGAUUUUGGAUCGUGAUAAGGUGGUAUCAGAGCUCUAGGUUCAUAGGUUCUACAAGUCAUGAGCAAGUGUCUAGUAGAGUCUUGCGAAUCGGUAUGAUGACGUCCAUACCUAUCUUCGAGAGGGUAUAGGACAAUUAGGAUAUACUUCCCAUCUUUCUUUCCUUAUCAUGCGGCAUUGAAUCAGCUUGUAGCGUAACUCUUUGAAUCCCUUCCACGCAUUCGUAUGCGCAUACGAGUGCUCGGUAUCAGUUUUGCAUUUGCCGGCUUGUGAUUCUAUGAACGGGGGUGCGAGAUAUUGGGUUUUGACUGUGGCUUGAGCGCAGAUAUAUUGAUUGUGUGAGCAUGUGCUUUUGGAUAUAUAUGUCCGGUAGUGUCCCUAUUAGUAGAACUUGUGGUUUGAUGAGCGGUAGAAUGGCUUUGUGAUGAUAAUGAUGUGACUGUGAGAUGUGUUCAUAUGGUUUGAAUGUGACGAGAAGAGUUUACUUGAGUUGAAGCAAGAAUUAUUGUGUGUUUGAUUUCUGUCUUGAUUUGGCGUAUGGUCUCGAGUUAUAGGUGUGUUGAGAGAUCUCUCAAGUUGUUUAGUUUUGGAGUGAAGUAGAUUCUCAUGUCUUGUUGAUGAGUUCAGACUCAGGAAGAUUAAGUGAUUGUGCAAUAGUUAUGAUUAUGGAAGAGUAUAGAGAGAUGUCAGCUUAAGGCAGAGCAGGUAGGUUAUCUCCUGCGAGGUGUCCUGAGAUUGUGUGGUCCUUAUGAUGUUUUGUAGAGAGUUCCCUUUUACUAGUGAAUGAUAUAUGUUGCAAUUUGAGUUUGGAUUGCUUGCGGAAGUUGGAUUGACUAUUACAAGGGUGAAUGCGAGAUUUGCAGACGAUUUGAGGUAUUAUAUGAUUUGUGUUACAUGGGCUUGCGAAGGAUUUAGUUGAAUUUCAGUGCGGGAUUCUGGCAGUAAUAGAGUGUGGGUAUCGUGAUGUUAUCGACUGUUUUGUUCUAUGGCUUUGAGCCAAGUGGGGGAGUCUGCUAUCGGCGAGUUGAUUGCACGGUUAUAUGUUGUAUUGGUUUCGGUUCGAGGUAUACUGGUGAAUCAACUAUGACUGCAGGGGUUGAGAUUUAGGAUGACUCGAGUAAGGGAAUUUCUGGAUACGGAUUGUAUUACACUUUAUGGGUAUAUGGGAAUCAUAAAAUAAUUGAGUGGUUAUUCGCAAAGGAUGUAGUAUACACGGAGUAGGAAUUUGCUCGGUUGCUUAGUAGUGUGGGUUACUCUUUACUCCCUUGGGUGUUGGUGUGCUAAUGGGGCACAGGUCGUUCAGACCGUUUGGUCGGUUCAAUUGAGAUUUGGGUAGAGUGGAUGACUCUUGAGAAUGGUUCUAAUGGAUUCAAGAAUAAUAUGUAGCAAUUGAGAAUUUCAGAUUGGUAUAUGGCUAGGAUCUGAUAUUUGCAUUGGAUGGUGUUGAAACUUGUGGCAUUUUUAUAUCAUUGUGGAUUGUGCAUUUCAGUAUCAAGAAGGUGAAGGAAAUAAUUUUAGGUUCACAUAAAGUCUCUUUAGAGUAGGUGUCUCGGUUGUGGUACCUUGGGGUGCUUAAGAAGGGAGUCAGCGGCUUAUGGGCCUUAGGGCGUUGUGGUUUUAUACUAGGGUCUCUUGUGCGGUGAAUUUUGGUUAGGGAUCGUGGUGUUCUAGCAAGGAGAAGUAUCAAUUUGAAGGAAAUUUGGAAAUGACUUAGAGAAAUAAGACAACUUGGUAGUAGGUUGGGUUAGCACAGUAAUAGGUAUGAUCGAUUCUUUGGGUACUUACGAUGUGGCUAGUCUCCACAGGUGUUUCGUGGCAAUGCUCUUGGGUUUUGGCAACCUACGUGGUUGGGUUGAGUUAGAGAGAUUCGGUUCUAAUAGCUUGGUUGUGUGCAAAUAGGUUUUGAAGAGUUCUCAACGGUUUUUUCCACGGUUCGAGGAGUAUAUUUCUUACCGGCAUGAGGAAUAUGUUGCGUAUUUGAGUUUUCUCCGGGAUGAGAUCAAAUGGAAGGUUUCCGACUGAUCGGAUAUGUAUUUUGUUUGCGGCUCAAAGUUGAUUAUGAGAUUCUUGUACUCUUCACAUGAUGGAAUAGUAGGCGCGGUUGUAUUGUGUGGGAUUGAGAUUUGCAUGUGCAAGGUCAUUGUUCAGUUUUGAAGGAAAGGACAUAAAUUCGUAGGCAGCAUGGACGGUUUCAGAUGACUAGGUAAAUGAUAUUACUAAUCGGCAUGGCCUGAUGAGGGUAUACACUUCAGAAGGGGCAAUGUGCUUUGAUUUAUGGAUACUUCAUUGGUACUGUGGCACUCUCCUGGUUGAUCGACUGCUGAUAUUCAAAUUUUGUUAUGUGGCACGGAAGAAUUUUAGAAGUAUUCCUCGUGGGAUGAUCGUGUAUGAGAGAUGAGUUAGACAUUCUGGCAGUGGAGUCGGGAUCAGUUAUGGUGAUUCGUGUAUUCUAUGGAUUUGGAGAUUGGGAGUUCUCAAGAGCAGAUUGUUUCAUGGUUAUGGAUUGUGAAGUCAUGGCCGAAGCUACCUAGAUGAUAAAAUAUGUUACGACUCAGUCAUUGUGGACUUUCGAAUGGUUAUUUAUCUAUUUGUGGGUGACCAGGGUGAUUUGGGGGUCUAUUGGUAGGCCUAAUUAGGAUGUGUAUUCUACACCGAGCUGGAUUGGUUGGCUCCAUACUGCUAUUAUUGAGGGAUGUGCCAUUCGGUUGUUGUUGAGCUUAUUCAUGUUCGGGAAUGAUCUGUGAGUUACUCUUCUAUGCUACGAGGAGUGGUCAUUCGUUGGUUAUAAACACACCUAGUGCGGUUCUAUUUGGGCUUUAUUGCGGAGUAUGAGCGAGAUGCGUAAUUGGGUAUUACAUGGUUGAUGGCGUAUGGGUUAUGUUCUUUCGGGUUUUGUGGGGCAUUGUGUCAUUUGCUUCUUCAUGGUUACGGUAAUGCACCUUGAGUACUUGAUGUCGAAUUGCACGUGGUUAUUGAUUUUGGAGCAUGGUGGCUGAGGUAUUUCCUAUGGAUCAAUGUUUAGAUGGGGUCGCGCAUUGCGGCAGAGUUAUGUUGAGAUAUGAUCCUUUGUGUUAGAUUCGUGUGUUAUGGUUCUACGGUAUGUGAUGGGGUUCUUAGCAUAUCGUUGUGGUGGUACCCAUCGAGCUUGCGGGAUAGUUCUCUUGUUUGAGUCAUUUUUCGUUAUUGAGUACAUUUGGAAUGUUGCUUAUUGGUGCAUGGAUUGCACGGGUUGUGACUUUAGAUAGUAUUGGUGUGGCAUGUCGGUAGAGUAGCCGGUAUUUGAUAAGAUGAAGUCGUCGGAUCUAGGAUGGGUGCUAUGAGAUUUGAUUGUGGUAUAAUUGGAAGGAUAAUAUCGAAAGUCGGCUAAUGAAUGGCUAUGGUUUUUGUCGUAAGAGAGGGAGCUCCACGACUGGUUGAUCUGAUAAAUGGUUACGAGUUUCUGCGUGUUUCUUUCAUCAUCGGUAGUGUAUGAAGGUUUUAGAACGAGGCUUUGUUUGAUAUGAGGUCUAUUAUCGGUAUUGGGUUGUUUUGAGCAGCUACUGUGAUUUAAAAUUAUCACUAUGAGUAUUUGAGUUAUAUGGUACAUCAUGAGAUUAUAUCUUGGGUUAUGGAUAUGACUUGAUACAGCUUGUUCAGACUUAUUCAGUGUGUAGAUGCGAGAUUCUGAUCUUAUAGAAAUUGUGGAUGUUGGAAAUUGGAUUCUAAGGCUUUUGGGCUAGUUUGAAUUAAGAAAUUUCAGUUAUGCGGUGUUAUCAGACCUAUAUGGGAUAGGGUGACAUGGGGUCACCCCCGAGUACGUGCGUGGUUAGAUGGAAUAAUGAUGUGGUGGCUUGGAAACAACUCCUUGAAUGUUCGAGGACGAACGUAUGUUUAAGUGGGAGAAGAUGUAAUGACGCGAUCGGUCGUUUUGAGCAUUUGCACUUCGCUCGAUAGUUUAUAGGUGUGAGUACCUUCAUAUGAUGUAUUAUGACUUAUGUGAGUCGUCGAUUUUUGGUUUUUCGGGUUAUUCAAAAUCGAAUUGGAAGAAUGAAUUUCAGGAUUGAAGCUUUAAAUUGGGAGAGUUGACCAAGUUUGACUUUUUGAGAAUUUGAACUCGAAAUAGAGUUUUGAUGGUUCCGUUAGCUCCGUUGGGUAUUUUGGACUUAGGAGCGCGUCCGGAUUGUGAUUCGAAGGUCCGUAGUGGAAUUUGGCUUGAAAUGGCAAAAGUUGGAUUUUUGGAAAGUUUGACCGGGAGUGGACUUUUUGAUAUCAGAUUCGGAUUGUGAUUCCGGGGAUUGGAAUGACUUCGUUAUGUCAUUUGGGACUUGUGUGCAAAAUUUGAGGUCAAUCGGACGAGAUUUGUUAGGUUUCGGCAUCGGUUGUGGAAGUUGAAGUUCAAAGUUCAUAGAUUUUGAUUUGAGGUGCAAUUUGUCGUUUUGAUGUUGUUAUGAGUGAUUUGAGGCCUCGAGUAGGUCCGUGUUAUGUUAUUGGACUUGUUGGUAUAUUCGAACGGGCUCCCGAGUGGCUCGGAUGAGUUUCGGACGGGGUUUAGAUCAUUUUCGUUGCAUAGUGCAUUGCUGAAGGCUGCUGGUUCUGGUGUGAUCGCACAUGCGGCUAGUUUUGCGCAGGUACGAUGGCCGCAGAAGCGACAAAGGCAUCGCAUAUGCGAGAUGAGAGCUGGAUGAAGAGGCCCGCAGAAGCGGAGAAAAGGGCGCAUGUGCGGAUGCGCAGGUGCGUUGAGUAGAAGCGCAGGUGCGAGAGUCUUUGCAGAAGCGGAAUUUGAUAUCCGCAGGUGUGGGGGUUGCUGGGGAAGGCUAAUUUUGCAGAAGUAUAGUUUUUACCGCAGAAGCGGUGGUCGCAGAUAUGACGAAUUGUCCGCAAAUGCGGAGUCGAUGGGCAGAAUGUUUUAAGUUCGAGGGUUUUGGUCCUUUCUUCAUUUUGGGAGCUAUGGAGCUCAGAUUGAGGCAGUUCUUGAGGUAAUUUUCACCAUACAAAUUGGGGUAAGUGUUCUCUACUCGGUUUUGGUUAUAUUCCAUGAAUCUAUCUUCGAUUUUAGCAUUUGGUUGGUGAAUUUUAAAGAGGAAAUUGGUGGUUUUGGCCUAAAGUUUCAUAAUAUGAAGUUUUGAACAUCGAAUUGGGGUCGGAUUUGAGUGAAACUAGUAUUGUUGGACUCUUAAUUAAAUGGGUUGUUGAAUUUUGUAAAUUUUGUCGAGUUCCGAGGUGCGGUCUCGGGUUGGGCUUUUGGCCGAUUUUGGGCUUUUGAUUCAAGAUUUGACCUUUUUCGAUCGGGAUUAGCUCCUUUAGCAUUGUUUGAUGUAUUUGAGUUGUUUUUGGUUAGUUUCAAGACGUUCGGAGGUCGCUACAUGAGUGAUGGAAUCUUUAGAGCAUCACUUGGCUUGCUCGACUUUGGAUACAUCUUGUUCAAGGUAAGUAACUCUUCUAAUCUUAGUGCUGAGGGUAUGAAACCCCGAAAUACGUGUUAUGUGAUUUGUGUUGAGGUGACGCACAUCCUAGGUGACGGGCGUGUUGGCGUGCACCAUGUGAAUUGGGGCUCUGUUAUUUCCAUGGCACUGAAUAGUGGCCCUAUUUUGUUGAUAUCCGUGUUUUCACCAUGUGAUAAAGUAGUUAAGUUGUCAAUCAUGCUAGAUAUCAUGUUUAGGCAUUAUGCCGAUAAUGUUUGGACCAAUAGUGGUCGUUUCUUACUAUCAUCUCACUGAUUUCAUUGAUAUUUCAUACUUAGUCAUAUCCAUGCAUUUAGGCCAUAUCUCAGUCUCAGUUAUUAUUUAUUGAUACAUCAUAUCAUUGUUGUCGGGCUAGUUUCAUGACAUUGUGAGCCCGUGAGUGAGACUGUAGAGAUCGAUGACUGAGUGAGGCCGAGGGCCUGAGUGAGAGUGAUAUUUUGGGACCGGGCUGCAUGCUGCAGCUUGAUAUAUUGAUUACAUUUAUGGGAUCGGGUUGCAUGCCGCAAUGGGCCUUAGGGUUGCAUAUGUAUAUGAAGCGGGUUGCACGCCGCAACGAGCCUUAUGGCUAUUUAUAUAUUAUGGGAUCGGGCUGAACGCCACAGCGAUAUAGUGCUUGGGCUGAAAGGAUCCCCUCCAGGAGUCUGCAUACCCUAGUGAGCGUAGUCGACUAUAAACAGGGAUCGGGCUGCACGUCACAUCGGGUAUUGUAUAGUGCUGAGUGAUUGAGUGUAUUGAGCAUAGUGAAAGAGAAUGCGAGACAGUGAGAUUGAGUACUCUGAGAGUGUGAGUACACGAGCUCAUCAUCGAGAUGCAUUGCAUUUGACAUGCGUACUUGAGAUACAUGCAUAGAGGUGCAUUUCCUUCUGCUACCCAGUUUUGGGGACAUUUAUGAUUUUACCUGUAUCUUGACACGUAGGCAUAUAGAAGUACUUUCCUCAUGCUAUCUGAAAAUGAAACUGUGAUGACCCAAA